GGGGGCGAAACGGAUUCGACGGAAAGGAAAAGGGCUAAAAGGCAUACCGGGGUCCAUGCACCCGUAAUCGUGUGGACAAAAACACAAUUGCCAAUCCUGAAUUGGCUCUCGCUGCUUAAUUAAGUGGCGCGUCGCUCGGCUUCAGCCCGUGGGAGCGGAUGCGGCGACGAUGAACGGGCUAGUUCUUCCUUUUCGGUCCGUGAAGGAAGGGCGAAACUUUCCGGACUAGCGGCCGGUAAUUCUUGUCGGUUCGACGUUGCCGGCGGUGAAGUUUUUCGAACACGACUAAGUAUGUAGGCUUUUAGUCCAGUGCCUUUUCGGACGGGGGUUCGACUCCCCCCGCCUCCACCA
rnacentral:tmRNA from 1 species